UGUAUGUAUGUCUUGUUUCCGCUUUGGUUGAACGUCAUGCCAGUUUUGUAGUUAGCAGUGUACAGGGAAAAAAAUGGGGAAAUAUGACUUUAGGUGCGUUGAAUGUAACGAAAAAGCACCGGAGUUACACAGAGAUUACAGUAACGGGAUCCUGAAAAUAACCAUAUGUGAGUCGUGCCAAAAGCCAGUGGACAAGUACAUUGAAUAUGACCCAGUUAUCAUCCUGAUUGAUGCCAUUUUGUGCAAGACGCAGGCGUUCAGACACAUUUUGUUCAAUACAAGCUUGAAUAUCCACUGGAAGUUGUGUGUGUUCUGCCUGCUGUGUGAGGCUUACCUCAGGUGGUCUCUGCUCCAUGGCUCCGAGCAGAGCAGUGACCCCGCUGACAUCAUCAGGUACACCAAGGAAUGGGAGUUCUACGGCAUGUUUGGAUUGGCCGCCCUCGAGCUGUCAGCGUUCUGCGGCGGCGUGCUGUGUUUCCUUUGGGUGGUGGUGGGUCGUCUGCAGGGUGGGACCCCCGAGCUCAGCCUGGUCCUCAGAGCCCUGCUGCUCUCCUGCUACGGAAAGGUCCUCCUCAUCCCUGCUGUCAUCUGGGAGCACGACUACUCGCCGCUCUGUCUGGGCCUCAUCAAGCUGUUUGUGCUGACCUCAAACUCGCAGGCUAUCAGAGUGAUCCUGAACAGCAGUAGACGUUUUUCACUGAUGGCCGUGUGUUUUGGCCUGCUGUCAGAGACCUGUGUGGCUCAGGCCUGUAGAAAGCUUCCAUGGAGCAUCCAGGACAUGUUGACAUCUGAAUGACAAAUGUCAGUUAUCUCAGGGAUAAACAAGUGAUCGUGGAUGCCGACCUGUGCCAGAAAGAGGCAGGUUUUAAUGAACCCUCUACACAUGGGAAUGGAGAAGGAGAAGGACACGUUUUGAAGUAUUUUUGCAGCAGAAGAGACAUUGUUAUUAUUUUUUCUGCACUCUUUAUAGAGAAAAAGAUCUAUCUUCAUUUUGGAGGGAUGUCAAGGAGGUGGCAUUGGCCCUCCUGUUUUUCAUUUUAGUUUUAAAGUGGACAAUAAGCUCAAGAUAUAAGUGAGAUUUUGAUUUGAAUACCUUAUUGAGACAGACAGACAUACAGAGAGGAGCUAACGCAUGGGAACAUCUCCUGAUCUAAACCACUGUUUCUCAGACCCACUCUACAAUUGACACAAACACAGACCCUGAGGUUGUAAUUUCACAACAACUACUUCUCUGUUUGGACAGGACCCAGGCAACACUCUUCACAUUCUUUGGCUCAUUGGUGAAAUGCUUACCUUAAUUCACACACGCAUACAGAAACACACGCACACACACACACACACACACACACACACACACACACACACACACACACAC